rnacentral:lncRNA from 1 species
GGUUCCCUUCCCGAUAUUUCCUUCUUCAUCUGCAAUAUAUCUUUAUCUAUAAUAUAUCUCUUACUAAAGGGUUAGGUUGAAAUCUAUGAGUAGGUGAACCAUUAAUCCAGGAAGUCAUAGUAACGAGUCACCUUCUAACCAGGCCCGUGUAGCCAUAAAUUUGAAAACCGCCAGGGCGUAGUCCCUCCCAAGCUUAUGUCUAACAAAAUAGGGAUGGCUCAAGUUUUCACUAAAUUCUUUAAACAAGUUGUCCAUGAAUAACAAGAGCUCGGGCUAAGAUUAACUAAGCAAGCUGUAAGCUGUAGCUCCUGCUCAAUUAAUGAAACGAGCCAAUUCUAGGAAGCCUUCUCAAGCUCCUCUCGUUUACACAGCACCCACCAUUGUCCAUUUAAGUGAUUCGAACUAAUAAAUAGAUACCGAUUGAACAAAAUUAUCAUAUGAUAUUAUUAUUUAACAAGAUGAAUCAAACAGAAGUGAACUGGAGAGGACCCAAACAC